rnacentral:sRNA from 1 species
GUUUCCAAGAGCAGCAGAAAAUGAACACAUUGCAGGGGCCAGUGUCAUUCAAAGAUGUGGCUGUGGAUUUCACCCAGGAGGAGUGGCAGCAACUGGACCCUGAUGAGAAGAUAGCAUACGGGGAUGUGAUGUUGGAGAACUACAGCCAUCUAGUUUCUGUGGGGUAUGAUUAUCACCAAGCCAAACAUCAUCAUGGAGUGGAGGUGAAGGAAGUGGAGCAGGGAGAGGAGCCAUGGAUAAUGGAAAGUGAAUUUCCAUGUCAACAUAGUCCAGGACAAAGCAGUUCCAAUUCCAGAGAAAAUGAGUGAAUGGGCACCUCGACCUCCCCCAGAAUUUGUCCGAGAUGUCAUGGGUUCAAGUGCUGGGGCCGGCAGUGGAGAGUUCCACGUGUACAGACAUCUGCGCCGGAGAGAAUACCAGCGACAGGACUACAUGGAUGCCAUGGCUGAGAAGCAAAAAUUGGAUGCAGAGUUUCAGAAAAGACUGGAAAAGAAUAAAAUUGCUGCAGAGGAGCAGACCGCAAAGCGCCGGAAGAAGCGCCAGAAGUUAAAAGAGAAGAAAUUACUGGCAAAGAAGAUGAAACUUGAACAGAAGAAACAAGAAGGACCCGGUCAGCCCAAGGAGCGGGGGUCCAGCAGCUCUGCGGAGGCAUCUGGAACAGAGGAGGAGGAGGAAGUGCCCAGUUUCACCAUGGGGCGAUGACAAUGUUUGCCACAGCCUCUGCCUGGAACCUGGCUCGUGCUGUGACCAGAAGGGAAAGGCGGCUGUUUGGCUCUUUCUCCCCCGCAAGGACCCGCUGACCCGCUGGAUGGAGAGCAAAGGAGACCCCUCCCGAGCCGCUCACAGUCCUGCAUUUGGCAGGUUUGGGAGCCUGAGGGGCCAUCUCCCUGACACUCAGAGGCACUGCCUUGCAGACACCAUCCGUGCUCCUGGUAAAGGGGGACAGAGAGCCUCACCUUGCCACAUAUUUGAACAGUGAUGAGUUUGGGGCUGGUUUCUGGGAAGGGAAUGUUUAUUUAGUAAAGAGCAGAACACCCUUGCGUUUUGUUGGGACAUGUGGACCGUGAGUCACAAACACUCUGGAGAAGGCUGAGAUGCCACCAUUCCCACGGGGACUGAAGACACAUUACGUGGACCUGGUCCCAGGCUCAGUGAGGAGAUGGCCUCGGCUGUGGGGCUGGUCCAUGUUGCCCACUCACUCCAGUGGGAAGUGGGGACCACGCCAUAGAGGGUCUGCUCCCACUGCAGCUCCCGGUGCUCUCGUGUUCUGGGAAGGCCUGGGUGUGUGCACAAGGAGGCCCGGGCCAGGGACUUCACCAGGGGCUGGGUCACAAGGGCACAGGGUGUGUGGAAAGCACUGUGGGGGAAGAGCCGGUCACCGGAGAGUGAGCAGGCAGAGACUCCAAGCUGGGCUGAGCCAGAGCAGAAGUCGAGGGAUUACCAGCCGGACGGGGGUUCUCUCGCCAACAGCUGCGUUUUCAUCCCGAAGUGGAAGGGGGUCUCAACAGAACGGGCUGAGAGAGGCGGGACUGGGUCAAGUGGGUGGAGCUCCUCCUUGCAUGACUGCAACUGUCGGGGCUUUCCGCCGGCUCACAGCAGUUGGGGCCAGCGGGGAGAAGAGAGGCGGAACUGCUGUGUCCUCAGGUGGCGCAGCCUCAGACUGGCAUCCAGGCACUGGGCCCGUGCAGAGAAGGCACCUGCAGAGAGCAGGGCAGCCCGGCGCAGGGGCGUGCACCUAGAAUCCCAGCUACUCGGAAGGCCAAGGCAGGAGGACCACUUGAGUCCAGGGAUUCAAGGCCAACCUGGGCAAUAGAGCGAGACCCUGUCUCUUAAAAAACGAUGAUGAUGAUGAACACAGAGGACAGGGCACUGUGCUGGGAGCCAGGGGGCCUGGGAGGAGCCGAGACCAGCCUUUUACCUCGGGGUUUUGAGGCCAACAGGGACGACAGAGACAGUUUCUAGUUAGAGCCUUGGCUCCAUUUUUGGAUGAUUUAGCCCCGAGUUCCUGAGUCUAUUUCAUGCCCCUUACAUACUUUGAUAGAACUAAGGAAAUAGUGGUUUUGAGUGAAGGGAAAGGAAACCCAGAAACAUUUUACGUUGCUUUUACGUCUGUAGUGUAGAUUGCCCCGGCCCCUCUCUGAGCCCUGUAGCAUCUGUGAUAGCUUCUGUCCCUUCAUCGGUUCAUGUCACAGGGAUUUUCUUUCCCAGGAAGCGGACACGGAGAGUCAGCCCUAAUAAAUGAGCACAUGCCCUGGCUGUA